CCUACGGGGUGCAGCAGUGGGGAAUAUUGGACAAUGGGCGAAAGCCUGAUCCAGCCAUGCCGCGUGUGUGAAGAAGGCCUUCGGGUUGUAAAGCACUUUCAGUGGGGAAGAAAGCCUUGGGGCUAAUACCCUCGAGGAAGGACAUCACCCACAGAAGAAGCACCGGCUAACUCCGUGCCAGCAGCCGCGGUAAUACGGAGGGUGCGAGCGUUAAUCGGAAUUACUGGGCGUAAAGCGCGCGUAGGCGGUCUGAUAAGCCGGUUGUGAAAGCCCCGGGCUCAACCUGGGAACGGCAUCCGGAACUGUCAGGCUGGAGUGCAGGAGAGGAAGGUAGAAUUCCCGGUGUAGCGGUGAAAUGCGUAGAGAUCGGGAGGAAUACCAGUGGCGAAGGCGGCCUUCUGGACUGACACUGACGCUGAGGUGCGAAAGCGUGGGUAGCAAACAGGAUUAGAUACCCGGGUAGUC
rnacentral:rRNA from 1 species